rnacentral:rRNA from 1 species
CAGCCGCCGCGGGAAUACGAAGGGGGCUAGCGUUGUUCGGAUUUACUGGGCGUAAAGCGCACGUAGGCGGAUUCUUAAGUCAGGGGUGAAAUCCCGAGGCUCAACCUCGGAACUGCCUUUGAUACUGGGGAUCUUGAGUUCGGGAGAGGUGAGUGGAACUGCGAGUGUAGAGGUGAAAUUCGUAGAUAUUCGCAAGAACACCAGUGGCGAAGGCGGCUCACUGGCCCGAUACUGACGCUGAGGUGCGAAAGCGUGGGGAGCAAACAGGAUUAGAUACCCGUGUAGUCCCUGUCUCUUAUAC